ensembl:lncRNA
GACACAGGUUGGGACGGAACUCUACUGGAAGGUGGCUCUCCAGGACCAGGGGGGGAGAUUGUCCGAGAACCCCUGCCCUGCACACUGAGAUGUCUUCUCUGCUGUAAGAACCUUAGACGACAAAUGGGAUAAACCCACGAUUAAUAUUAGUACCGAAUUAGGUACAGCCCAAAAUGUUCCACCACCAGGGGGCGAUAAUACGACUUUCGCCAUUCAAUCACGCUUCCUAAGAAGAAAUAGCGGCGCAUGCGCGAAACAGAGGCCGGUGCUUCUAACGAGCAGUUAUCGUUUUGUGUUUCUUUUCAUUUUCAUGUUUUAUCGCAUACGGAUGGCUUUCCUUAUCUGUUCUUAUUCGAUAGUUCGGAGAUGUUGCAACAGAUAAAAUACACCCACUUUGUUCACCCCCUUGAUUUGACUUCAGCAAAGACAGGGGCACAAAAUAACGAACAGAUUUAUAAACAAGAAGUCAGGUGUUGUAACAGUUAAAUGGUCAUCUUGAUCACCACAUAUAAACACCAUUUUCAGGAUAUUUUGUGCAGAAUUUGAGAGACCGAUGUUUUCUUCUUUUGAAGUCGAAUUGUUUUUCCUCUUGAAGAAGUAGAACUGAAGACUCCUGUAGAUGGACAGUCCACCAGCGUUACACACAUCAGGUCAACUGCUUUUCUCAGGCGUAAGAGGGUGGCCCAACGUCUUACUAAUAUUUGAUAAUAAUGUAUAGUUGGGCUUCACUAUUCUGUACAUUCCCUGCAUUUGUUUGCAUAUGUAGACCAGCUGUGGAAAAUGAAUGAACGCAAUGUUUAGUGUUUGGCUAAACACUAAAAGGAGUCGUGAAAAGACGAAAGCUUUUCCAAACCUCUUGUCAUUUCUGCGAGUGCAGAAUUAAGGAGUGAACUCAUGACUACUGAGAGCGUCUCGGUCAUCGACUUACCACACUGGGAAAGUGGAAAAAGGAGGAUUCGGUUCUUAUAUCUAGCUGGAAACAACUCCUUUAAAGUUACCAAACAGAAUACAAAUGAGGAGCAGAUGAUUCCCCUCUUCCUUGGAGCCGAUCUCUUUUCUAACACAGAUAUCCGCACUGAGAACCAUCCUAGAUACCACGGAAAAUUUGCCAAAAAAGGACUGGCAACAAAACUGGUUUUCUCCUCAGCCUUCAGGUUCCAAGGCAUUCGACUUCCUUGCUCCAAUAAUGGCUUGUGGUUCUACUGUAUUCAUGGCGUUUUCCGGGUGGCCUUUGAUCUUUACAGUAAAGAAGAGCAGCUUUCAGUCUUGGAGUCAUUUCAGGAUCUCUGGAAGUCCCGAAUCAAUGAUGAGCAAUUAAACAUGGUUUACAACCUGCAUGUCCAACUGCCAACAACUACCAGCUACCAUGGUGACAAAGAGAUAUCACAUGAACAUGCUUCUAAUAACAUAUCUGCGCCUACCCCUGCCCAUUCAGGACCUCAAGAGGUAGAAGACUUUGUCAUCUCAGAGCCAGUGUCUGGUUUACCAGAAGAGUCGUCAUCCGUGGACCAUGACUACUGCUCCUUAUCAGAGCAGGCAAAGUUUAAGCAGUCUAGUCUGCUAGCUGAGAAACUCUGCAUUAUAGGUGACAAGUUAAAGUCCAUCAAUACAAUGGAUAAAAGUCAAGAAGAAACUAUCUUGAAGUUUCUAGAUUAUGCUGAAUAUUGGAUUAGCGGAGGGCAAGACGAGGAAAGGUUGACAGGCGCUGUGAUGACUUUACUUCGGACUCAUUCGCAAGGAUACUCAAUCUACUCCAGUCUUUUGCUGCAAGCGCUGGCUGGCUGGCUGGGUCAGAAGUUUCAUUCAGCCAACAGUAGCAUAAGCCAGCAGGUAGAAACCUUCAAAAUGCGACACAUUGAACACAUUACAGACUUGCCUCCUGCUGAGGAACUUGCCACAGAACUCUUUCCAGAGGCAAUGCGGAACCUGAUGAUAAACUGGAUGGGUCUGGGUGAAGAGGCAGCCACAUGGAAAAGACUCAGUGAAUAUCCAAUUGUACUGCUUAUACUGGAAUUCGCCAACCAUAACCUCAUCACAGGAGUGGCCCAUGUACUAUAUUCCAGUCUCAUAAGCAGGUAG